rnacentral:rRNA from 1 species
GACGAACGCUGGCGGCGUGCUUAACACAUGCAAGUCGAGCGGUAAGGCCUCUUCGGGGGUACACGAGCGGCGAACGGGUGAGUAACACGUGGGUGACCUGCCCUCAGCUCUGGGAUAAGCCUGGGAAACUGGGUCUAAUACCGGAUAUGACCUUUCCUCGCAUGGGGUUUGGUGGAAAGUUUUUUCGGCUGGGGAUGGGCCCGCGGCCUAUCAGCUUGUUGGUGGGGUGAUGGCCUACCAAGGCGACGACGGGUAGCCGGCCUGAGAGGGCGACCGGCCACACUGGGACUGAGACACGGCCCAGACUCCUACGGGAGGCAGCAGUGGGGAAUAUUGCGCAAUGGGCGGAAGCCUGACGCAGCGACGCCGCGUGGGGGAUGACGGCCUUCGGGUUGUAAACCUCUUUCGACCCCGACGAAAUUGGACGGUAGGGGUAGAAGAAGCACCGGCCAACUACGUG